rnacentral:rRNA from 1 species
GAUGAACGCUGGCGGUAUGCUUAACACAUGCAAGUCGAACGGACUCUUCGGAGUUAGUGGCGGACGGGUGAGUAACGCGUGAGAAUCUGGCCUUGGGUUCGGGACACCCACUGGAAACGGUGGCUAAUACCGGAUGUGCCGAGACGUAAAAGAGAAAUGGCCUGCAGAUGAGCUCGGGUCUGAUUAGCUAGUUGGGGAGGUAAGGGCACACUGAGGCAGCGAUCAGUAGCUGGUCUGAGGGGAUGACCAGCCACACUGGGACUGAGACACGGCCGAGACUCCUGCGAGGGAGAGCAGGGGAGAAUUUUCCGAAGUGGGCAAGAGCGUGGCAGAGCAGUACCGCGUGGGAGAAGGAGGCUCUGGGGUUAUAAACCUCUUUUCUGAGAGAAGGACAAAGUGACGGUACCGGAGGAAGCAGCAUCGGCUAACUCCGUG